rnacentral:rRNA from 1 species
UUGACCUCAAAUCAGGUAGGAAUACCCGCUGAACUUAAGCAUAUCAAUA